UGGGGAAUAUUGCACAAUGGGCGCAAGCCUGAUGCAGCCAUGCCGCGUGUAUGAAGAAGGCCUUCGGGUUGUAAAGUACUUUCAGUCGGGAGGAAGGUGUCAAGGUUAAUAACCUAGGCAAUUGACGUUACCGACAGAAGAAGCACCGGCUAACUCCGUGCCAGCAGCCGCGGUAAUACGGAGGGUGCAAGCGUUAAUCGGAAUUACUGGGCGUAAAGCGCACGCAGGCGGUUUGUUAAGUCAGAUGUGAAAUCCCCGGGCUCAACCUGGGAACUGCAUCUGAUACUGGCAAGCUUGAGUCUCGUAGAGGGGGGUAGAAUUCCAGGUGUAGCGGUGAAAUGCGUAGAGAUCUGGAGGAAUACCGGUGGCGAAGGCGGCCCCCUGGACGAAGACUGACGCUCAGGUGCGAAAGCGUGGGGAGCAAACAGG
rnacentral:rRNA from 1 species